rnacentral:rRNA from 1 species
UACGUAGGGGGCGAGCGUUGUCCGGAUUUAUUGGGCGUAAAGAGCUCGUAGGCGGUUCAGCAAGUCGGGUGUGAAACCUCCAGGCUCAACCUGGAGACGCCACCCGAUACUGCUGUGACUUGAGUCCGGUAGGGGACCACGGAAUUCCUGGUGUAGCGGUGAAAUGCGUAGAGAUGUGGAGGAACACCGAUGGCGAAGGCAGCCCCCUGGGCUAACACUGACGCUCAUGCACGAAAGCGUGGGGAGCAAACAGG